rnacentral:rRNA from 1 species
GCACGCCUGUUUGAGCAACGCUACC